rnacentral:SRP_RNA from 1 species
UGCGGGUAGGUGGGGAGUUAGCGGUGCCCUGUAACCCGGAACCCGCUCUACCGGGGCCGAACACCAGUCGAGGGUCCUCGAUUUCAGGGCUGGCUUUGAUGGAAGGUGUUGACGAGAGGGUCCAGCGCGGCGAGGCCUUGUUAACCGGGUCAGGUCCGAGAGGAAGCAGCCCAUAGCAAGUUACUUCGGGUGUUGCUGGGUCGCCUUUUCCGAGCCGAUCAUCAAGGUAACGCCUGGGGUUGUUGAUUCGGAGCUGGUCCCGCA